rnacentral:rRNA from 1 species
CAAUAGCGUAUAUUAAAGUUGUUGCGGUAAAAAAGCUCGUAGUUGGAUUUCUACCGAAGAUAGCCGGUCGGGUCUUCGACCUUGUAUCUGGUUUUGUCUUUGGUAUCCUCAUAGGGAACGUUUCUGCGCUUUAUUGCGUGGUGCGGUAUCUAUGACUUUUACUUUGAGGAAAUUAGAGUGUUCACGGCAGGCAAACGCCUUGAAUAUAUUAACAUGGAAUAAUAACAUAGGAUCUUCGUCCUAUUUUGUUGGUUUCUAGGGCUAAGAUAAUGAUUAAUAGGGAUAAUUGGGGGCAUCUGUAUCAACGCGUCAGAGGUGGAAUUCUUGGAUUGCGUUGCGACAAACUACUGCGAAAGCAUUUGCCAAGGAUGUUUUCAUUGA